GUCCAUGCCGUAAACGUUGGGCACUAGGUGUGGGGACGAUUCCACGUUUCCGUCGCCGUAGCUAACGCAUUAAGUGCCCCGCCCUGGGGAGGUACGGCCGCAAGGCUAAAACUACAAGGAAUUGACGGGGGCCCGGCACAAGCGGCGGAGCAUGCGGAUUAAUUCGAUGCAACGCGAAGAACCUUACCAAGGCUUGACAUGGACCGGACCGGGCUGGAAACAGUCCUUCCCCUUUGGGGCGGUUCACAGGUGGUGCAUGGUUGUCGU
rnacentral:rRNA from 1 species